GUGCCAGCAGCCGCGGUAAUACGUAGGGUGCAAGCGUUGUCCGGAAUUACUGGGCGUAAAGAGCUCGUAGGUGGUUUGUCGCGUCGUCUGUGAAAUCCCGGGGCUUAACUUCGGGCGUGCAGGCGAUACGGGCAUAACUUGAGUGCUGUAGGGGAGACUGGAAUUCCUGGUGUAGCGGUGAAAUGCGCAGAUAUCAGGAGGAACACCGAUGGCGAAGGCAGGUCUCUGGGCAGUAACUGACGCUGAGGAGCGAAAGCAUGGGUAGCGAACAGGAUUAGAAACCCCGGUAGUCC
rnacentral:rRNA from 1 species